CUUUCUUUGCUGGCGACCGGCGCACGGGUGAGUAACACGUAUCCAACCUGCCCUUUACUCGGGGAUAGCCUUUCGAAAGAAAGAUUAAUACCCGAUAGUAUAAUGAUUCCGCAUGGUUUCAUUAUUAAAGGACUCCGGUAAAGGAUGGGGAUGCGUUCCAUUAGGUUGUUGGUGAGGUAACGGCUCACCAAGCCUUCGAUGGAUAGGGGUUCUGAGAGGAAGGUCCCCCACAUUGGAACUGAGACACGGUCCAA
rnacentral:rRNA from 1 species